rnacentral:rRNA from 1 species
GUGCACGUUAAAUGGAUCGAGAGCGUUGCUCCGGCCACACGGUUUCGGCCGUGUCAUUAAACCUCAACAGAAUUACCUUCUGUUUGAACCUUUACAACUAGUAGCACUGGAUCCCUUGGCACGUCAUUCGAUGAAGAACGUAGCAAUCUGCGAUAAGUGGUGUGAUAUGCAAGUCCACAGCUUAUACGUGAACCAUCGAAUCUUUGAACGCACUGCACUAUCCGGACGACACCCCCGUGAUAGUAUGCCCCAUUGAGCGUUAUUUGUUCAUUCAGACGCCAUUGUGUUUGUUCACCUUGGUGGAUGAGUUCGAGGUUCACACUGUUUGUGCGCUCCUUGAGAUUCAUUAGCAACCGAAAUCCUAAUUGGUGCCCAUCCUGUGAUGAUUUUGCAGGCCAAGGUCCAUUGGGCUGGUGCUGAUAGUCGCCCUUGCUGGCAACACUGGUGCUUGCACCCUCAUUCUGUACAUAACCUCAGUGGGGUAGGAUUACCCGCUAGACUUAAGCAUAUUAAUCAGCGGAGGAAAAGAAACUAACAAGGAUUCCCCCAGUAACUGCGAGUGAAGAGGGAAUAGCUCAACGUGUGAAUCUGUCCGGGAGUAACCCCUGGUUCAGAGUUGUGCACUGUAGACGUCGGUUUCUGCGCUUGAAUUCCAGUUGUCAGUCCCAAGUCGGAUGAAACACCGCACCACAGAAGGUCAUAGCCCUGUGUCUGACUGUGCUUGAAUUUGCGCCAAUGACCGCACGUUCGUCGAGUCGCGUAGUUUUGUAAUGCUGCGCCAAUUGGGAGGUGGAACCCUUCUAAAGCUAAAUAUGAUGACGUGACCGAUAGCAAACAAGUACCGCGAGGGAAAGGUGAAAAGCAACCAUGUAGAAUGCGUUGAAACAGCAGUGAAAGUGCUACUGGGAUAAGGGCUAUUGAGUGCUAGUCUUUUGGUAGCGUGCUUCAGUGCUGCUCCAGGAGCGGCCUGCGUCGAUUGGAACUGGGAGACAUGCUCGGGGUUGAAUUCGGCCAAUGGCUUGCCACCGGUGUUGUAGCUCCCCGAUGAGUUGAGCCCA